rnacentral:tRNA from 1 species
UCCCUGGUGGUUCAGUGGUUAAGAUUCUGCCCUUCCAAGGCAGAGGGCAAGGGUUUGAGCCCUAAUUGGGAA